GACGAACGUUGGCGGCGUGCUUAACACAUGCAAGUCGAACGGAAAGGCCCUGCUUUUGUGGGGUGCUCGAGUGGCGAACGGGUGAGUAACACGUGAGUAACCUGCCCUUGACUUUGGGAUAACUUCAGGAAACUGGGGCUAAUACCGGAUAGGAGCUCCUGCUGCAUGGUGGGGGUUGGAAAGUUUCGGCGGUUGGGGAUGGACUCGCGGCUUAUCAGCUUGUUGGUGGGGUAGUGGCUUACCAAGGCUUUGACGGGUAGCCGGCCUGAGAGGGUGACCGGCCACAUUGGGACUGAGAUACGGCCCAGACUCCUACGGGAGGCAGCAGUGGGGAAUAUUGCACAAUGGGCGGAAGCCUGAUGCAGCAACGCCGCGUGCGGGAUGACGGCCUUCGGGUUGUAAACCGCUUUCGCCUGUGACGAAGCGUGAGUGACGGUAAUGGGUAAAGAAGCACCGGCUAACUACGUGCCAGCAGCCGCGGUGAUACGUAGGGUGCGAGCGUUGUCCGGAUUUAUUGGGCGUAAAGGGCUCGUAGGUGGUUGAUCGCGUCGGAAGUGUAAUCUUGGGGCUUAACCCUGAGCGUGCUUUCGAUACGGGUUGACUUGAGGAAGGUAGGGGAGAAUGGAAUUCCUGGUGGAGCGGUGGAAUGCGCAGAUAUCAGGAGGAACACCAGUGGCGAAGGCGGUUCUCUGGGCCUUUCCUGACGCUGAGGAGCGAAAGCGUGGGGAGCGAACAGGCUUAGAUACCCUGGUAGUCCACGCUGUAAACGGUGGGUACUAGGUGUGGGGUCCAUUCCACGGGUUCCGUGCCGUAGCUAACGCUUUAAGUACCCCGCCUGGGGAGUACGGCCGCAAGGCUAAAACUCAAAGGAAUUGACGGGGCCCCGCACAAGCGGCGGAGCAUGCGGAUUAAUUCGAUGCAACGCGUAGAACCUUACCUGGGUUUGACAUGGAUCGGGAGUGCUCAGAGAUGGGUGUGCCUCUUUUGGGGUCGGUUCACAGGUGGUGCAUGGCUGUUGUCAGCUCGUGUCGUGAGAUGUUGGGUUAAGUCCCGCAACGAGCGCAACCCUUGUUCACUGUUGCCAGCACGUUAUGGUGGGGACUCAGUGGAGACCGCCGGGGUCAACUCGGAGGAAGGUGGGGAUGACGUCAAGUCAUCAUGCCCCUUAUGUCCAGGGCUUCACGCAUGCUACAAUGGCUGGUACAGAGAGUGGCGAGCCUGUGAGGGUGAGCGAAUCUCGGAAAGCCGGUCUCAGUUCGGAUUGGGGUCUGCAACUCGACCUCAUGAAGUCGGAGUCGCUAGUAAUCGCAGAUCAGCAACGCUGCGGUGAAUACGUUCCCGGGGCU
rnacentral:rRNA from 1 species